AACGAACGCUGGCGGCAGGCCUAACACAUGCAAGUCGAGCGAGGACUUCGGUUCUAGCGGCGGACGGGUGAGUAACGCGUGGGAAUGUGCCCUUCUCUACGGAAUAGCCCUGGGAAACUGGGAGUAAUACCGUAUACGCCCUAUUGGGGAAAGAUUUAUCGGAGAAGGAUCAGCCUGCGUUGGAUUAGGUAGUUGGUGGGGUAAUGGCCUACCAAGCCGACGAUCCAUAGCUGGUUUGAGAGGAUGAUCAGCCACACUGGGACUGAGACACGGCCCAGACUCCUACGGGAUGCAGCAGUGGGGAAUCUUAGACAAUGGGGGCAACCCUGAACGAGCCAUGCCGGGUGAGUGAUGAAGGCCUGAGGGUUGUAAAGCUCUUUCAGCUGGGAAGAUAAUGACGGUACCAGCAGAAGAAGCCCCGGCUAACUCCGUG
rnacentral:rRNA from 1 species